rnacentral:lncRNA from 1 species
ACUUGGUGGGGUCUAGGUGGGAUCUGGGGGAAUCUAGGUGGAAUCUGGGGGGAUCCGGGGGAUCUAGGUGGGAUGCAGGGAGGUCUGGGGGAUCUUGGGGGGGUCUAGGUGGGAUCUGGGGGGUCUAGGUGGGAUCUGGGGGGUCUAGGUGGGAUUUUAGGGUAACUUGGGGGGGUCUUGGGGAUCUAGGAGGGAUCUGGUUGGGAUCUGGGGUAACUCAGUGGGAUCUGGAGGGUCCAGGUGGGAUCUGGGUGGGAUCUGGGGGUAACUCGAUGGGAUCUGGGGGGAUCUAGGUGGGAUCUGGGGUAACCAGGAGGGAUCUGGGGGGAUCUGGGUGGGAUCUGGGGUAACCAGGAGGGAUCUGGAGGGAUCUAGGAGGGAUCUGGGGGUAACUAGGAGGGAUCUGAGGGGUCUAGGUGGGAUUUGGGGGUAACUAGGAGGAGUCUUGGGGNCACCCCAAAAUCCCCCUCCAAAAUGGGGCGAAAUCCCACGAUUUUGGGGUCCCCAUCCUCCUCCUUCAGACACCUCAGAAUGGGGCAAAACCCCUCAAUUUUGGGGUUUCUCGAACCACCUCAGAAUGGGGCAAAACUUCACAAUUUUGGGGCUCCUCCAACCACCUCAGAAUGGGGCAAAACUUCACAAUUUUGGGGCUCCUCCAGGCACCUCAAAAUGGGGCAAAACCUCACGAUUUUGGGGUCCCCAUCCUCCUCCUUUAGCUCAAAAUGGGGCGAAAUCCCACGAUUUUGGAGUCCCCAUCCUCCUCCUUCAGACACCUCAGAAUGGGGCAAAACCCCUCAAUUUUGGGGUUUCUUGAACCACCUCAGAAUGGGGCAAAACUUCACAAUUUUGGGGCUCCUCCGGGCACCUCAAAAUGGGGCAAAACCUCACGAUUUUGGGGUCCCCAUCCUCCUCCUUUAGACAGCUCAAAAUGGGGCAAAACUUCACAAUUUUGGGGUUCCUUCGGGCACCUCGGAAUGGGGCAAAACCCCUCAAUUUUGGGGUUCCUCCAGCCGCCACAGAAUGGGGCAAAAUCCGCCCAUUUUGGGGUUCCCCUCCUUCCCCUGCCCCCCCCAAGUUCCCGUUGACGAAAAUGUGCCUCUUUUCUCUUAAAACCAACUUAAAAACCUACC